GACGAACGCUGGCGGCGUGCUUAACACAUGCAAGUCGAACGGAAAGGCCCUGCUUUUGUGGGGUGCUCGAGUGGCGAACGGGGGAGUAACACGUGAGUAACCUGCCCUUGUCUUUGUGAUAACUUCAGGAAACUGGGGCGAAUACCGGAUAGGAGCUCUUGCUGCACGGUGGGCGUUGGAAAGUUUCGGCGGUUGGGGAUGGACUCGCGGCUUAUCAGCUUGUUGGUGGGGUAGUGGCUUACCAAGGCUUUGACGGGUAGCCGGCCUGAGAGGGUGACCGGCCACAUUGGGACUGAGAUACGGCCCAGACGCCUACGGGAGGCAGCAGUGGGGAAUAUUGCACAAUGAGCGGAAGCCUGAUGCAGCAGCGCCGCGUGCGGGAUGCCGUCCUUCGGGUUGAAAACCGCUUUCUCCUGUGACGAAGCGUGAUUGACGGUAAUGGGUAAAGAAGCACCGGCUAACUACGUG
rnacentral:rRNA from 1 species